UGGGGAAUAUUGCACAAUGGGCGCAAGCCUGAUGCAGCAACGCCGCGUGAACGAUGAAGGUCUUCGGAUCGUAAAGUUCUGUUGCAGGGGAAGAUAAUGACGGUACCCUGUGAGGAAGCCCCGGCUAACUACGUGCCAGCAGCCGCGGUAAUACGUAGGGGGCUAGCGUUAUCCGGAUUUACUGGGCGUAAAGGGUACGUAGGCGGAUAAGCAAGUUAGAAGUGAAAUCCUAUAGCUCAACUAUAGUAAGCUUUUAAAACUGCUCAUCUUGAGGUAUGGAAGAGAAAGUGGAAUUCCUAGUGUAGCGGUGAAAUGCGCAGAUAUUAGGAGGAAUACCGGUGGCGAAGGCGACUUUCUGGCCAUAUACUGACGCUGAGGUACGAAAGCGUGGGUAGCAAACAGG
rnacentral:rRNA from 1 species